CCUUCGGGGGGCAGCAGUGGGGAAUAUUGGACAAUGGGGGCAACCCUGAUCCAGCCAUGCCGCGUGUGUGAAGAAGGCCCUCGGGUUGUAAAGCACUUUCAGUGAGGAAGAACGCCUGGUGGUUAAUACCCAUCAGGAAAGACAUCACUCACAGAAGAAGCACCGGCUAACUCCGUGCCAGCAGCCGCGGUAAUACGGAGGGUGCGAGCGUUAAUCGGAAUUACUGGGCGUAAAGCGCGCGUAGGUGGCUUGAUAAGCCGGUUGUGAAAGCCCCGGGCUCAACCUGGGAACGGCAUCCGGAACUGUCAAGCUAGAGUGCAGGAGAGGAAGGUAGAAUUCCCGGUGUAGCGGUGAAAUGCGUAGAGAUCGGGAGGAAUACCAGUGGCGAAGGCGGCCUUCUGGACUGACACUGACACUGAGGUGCGAAAGCGUGGGUAGCAAACAGGAUUAGAUACCCUUGUAGUC
rnacentral:rRNA from 1 species